GUAGGUGGCAAGCGUUGUCCGGAAUUAUUGGGCGUAAAGCGCGCGCAGGCGGUUCUUUAAGUCUGAUGUGAAAGCCCACGGGCUCAACCGUGGAGGGUCAUUGGAAACUGGAGAACUUGAGUACAGAAGAGGAAAGCGGAAUUCCACGUGUAGCGGUGAAAUGCGUAGAGAUGUGGAGGAACACCAGUGGCGAAGGCGACUUUCUGGUCUGUAACUGACGCUGAGGCGCGAAAGCGUGGGGAGCAAACAGGAUUAGAUACCCUGGUAGUCCACGCCGUAAACGAUGAGUGCUAAGUGUUAGGGGGUUUCCGCCCCUUAGUGCUGCAGCUAACGCAUUAAGCACUCCGCCUGGGGAGUACGGCCGCAAAGGCUG
rnacentral:rRNA from 1 species